CAUUGAUUGUGAUCCUUCACCAUUUUGCAAAGUGACACCAUGCAACCCUCUCACAGACAGAGCUGGAUUUGAACUCACAACAGAACCCCCAGCCCAGGAUCUGAGGGCCAAAUUGGGUUUGCACUUUUCUAAGGGAAAGGUCAUCUCAAGCUUGAAGUGUGCCAAAAGAAUUUCUUUGCUUCAUUUAAUUUUUAAAUGUCAUUUGAGUGAGGAGAGGAUUAUAGCUGUGGAAUGCAGAACUAUGACCUCUACGUACUACUGUACACACCCUGUACAUGUAUUUUUUUUACCUCUAUAAUUAUUUCAGCAGUAAACAGUAGGACAAUUUGACUUUUCAGAUUUUUGGAUAAAAGCUAAAUAUUGUUAACUUACACAGUGC
rnacentral:lncRNA from 1 species